rnacentral:pre_miRNA from 1 species
GUAUGAAUCUCCAGAGGAUCUUGUUAAAAUGCGGUUUCCAAUUCCAUAGGUCUGGGGGAGAGUCUGAGAUUCUGAAUCUCUAACAAGGCCUCAGGUGAUAGCAGA